GAUGAACGCUGACAGAAUGCUUAACACAUGCAAGUCUUUGGCGAAGCUGUGCUUGCACAGCCUAGCCAAGGCGGACGGGUGAGUAACGCGUAAGGAACUUGCCCUGCAGUCAGGGAUAACAGACGGAAACGACUGAUAAGACCUGGUAAAGUCAGGCGGACUCAUGUCCAGCCUGAUGAAAAGAGAUGCUGCAGGAGAGCCUUGCGUCCUAUUAGCUUGUUGGUGGGGUAACGGCCCACCAAGGCGAUGAUAGGUAGCCGGCCUGAGAGGGUGGACGGCCACAAGGGGACUGAGAUACGGCCCUUACUCCUACGGGAGGCAGCAGUGGGGAAUAUUGGACAAUGGGGGCAACCCUGAUCCAGCAAUUCUGUGUGCACGAUGAAGGUUUUCGGAUUGUAAAGUGCUUUCAGCGGGGAAGAAAAAAUGACGGUACCUGCAGAAGAAGCGACGGCUAAAUACGUG
rnacentral:rRNA from 1 species